rnacentral:rRNA from 1 species
CCUACGGGUUGCAGCAGUGGGGAAUAUUGCACAAUGGGCGCAAGCCUGAUGCAGCCAUGCCGCGUGUGUGAAGAAGGCCUUCGGGUUGUAAAGCACUUUCAGCGGGGAGGAAGGCGGUGAGGUUAAUAACCUCAUCGAUUGACGUUACCCGCAGAAGAAGCACCGGCUAACUCCGUGCCAGCAGCCGCGGUAAUACGGAGGGUGCAAGCGUUAAUCGGAAUUACUGGGCGUAAAGCGCACGCAGGCGGUCUGUCAAGUCGGAUGUGAAAUCCCCGGGCUCAACCUGGGAACUGCAUUCGAAACUGGCAGGCUAGAGUCUUGUAGAGGGGGGUAGAAUUCCAGGUGUAGCGGUGAAAUGCGUAGAGAUCUGGAGGAAUACCGGUGGCGAAGGCGGCCCCCUGGACAAAGACUGACGCUCAGGUGCGAAAGCGUGGGGAGCAAACAGGAUUAGAUACCCGUGUAGUC